rnacentral:misc_RNA from 1 species
GUAUUAAUUGCGUGUUAUCGCAAGAGACAUUCUACACUGUAUCGAGUUUGUGUGAAAACGCAAGCCCCCCCUCUGAACGAGCCAAAAGGGGGACCCACGCGGUGGUGCACAGGGUGAGAUGGAUUGUUUGAAAAUGCUCGGGCGUGCACGACCAAAAGUCAGCGACAGCCCUUGCAUGCCCCUCACAUUUUGUACGAUAAUGAUCCUUCCGCAGGUUCACCUACGGAAA